GGACUACUGGGGUUUCUAAUCCUGUUUGCUCCCCACGCUCUCGCGCCUCAGCGUCAAUCUUCGUCCAGGCGGUCGCCUUCGCCACCGGUGUUCCUCCCAAUAUCUACGAAUUUCACCUCUACACUGGGAAUUCCACCACCCUCUCCGAGAUUCAAGUCCUGUAGUUUCGGAUGCACUUCCAAGGUUGAGCCCUGGGCUUUCACAUUCGACUUACAGGACCGCCUACGCGCCCUUUACGCCCAAUAAUUCCGAACAACGCUUGCACCCUCUGUAUUACCGCGGCUGCUGGCAC
rnacentral:rRNA from 1 species